GUGAACGCUGGCGGCAGGCCUAACACAUGCAAGUCGAGCGGCAGCGCGGGGGCAACCCUGGCGGCGAGCGGCGGACGGGUGAGGAAUUCGUCGGAAUCUGCCUUUUUGUGGGGGAUAACGUAGGGAAACUUACGCUAAUACCGCAUACGUCCUACGGGAGAAAGUGGGGGACCGCAAGGCCUCACGCAGAAAGAUGAGCCGACGACCGAUUAGCUAGUUGGUGGGGUAAAGGCCCACCAAGGCGACGAUCGGUAGCUGGUCUGAGAGGAUGAUCAGCCACGCUGGGACUGAGACACGGCCCAGACUCCUACGGGAGGCAGCAGUGGGGAAUAUUGGACAAUGGGCGCAAGCCUGAUCCAGCCAUGCCGCGUGUGUGAAGAAGGCCUUCGGGUUGUAAAGCACUUUUGUCCGGAAAGAAAUCCCUGGAGCUAAUACCUUCGGGGGAUGACGGUACCGGAAGAAUAAGCACCGGCUAACUUCGUG
rnacentral:rRNA from 1 species